UACGUAGGGGGCAAGCGUUGUCCGGAUUUAUUGGGCGUAAAGAGCUCGUAGGCGGUUUGUCGCGUCGGCUGUGAAAUCCCGAGGCUCAACCUCGGGUCUGCAGUCGAUACGAGCAAACUAGAGUGUUGCAGGGGAGACUGGAAUUCCUGGUGUAGCGGUGAAAUGCGCAGAUAUCAGGAGGAACACCGGUGGCGAAGGCGGGUCUCUGGGCAACAACUGACGCUGAGGAGCGAAAGCGUGGGGAGCGAACAGG
rnacentral:rRNA from 1 species